UACGGAGGGAGCUAGCGUUAUUCGGAAUUACUGGGCGUAAAGGGUGCGUAGGCGGGUCUUUUAAGUCAGGGGUGAAAUCCUGGAGCUCAACUCCAGAACUGCCUUUGAUACUGAAGAUCUUGAGUUCGGGAGAGGUGAGUGGAACUGCGAGUGUAGGAGGUGAAAUUCGUAGAUAUUCGCAAGAACACCAGUGGCGAAGGCGGCUCACUGGCCCGAUACUGACGCUGAGGCACGAAAGCGUGGGGAGCAAACAGG
rnacentral:rRNA from 1 species